UUUUUCCCCAUCGUUCCCAUGGGCUACCGUCAGCAUAGUCAGUUUUCAACACAACUCUUAGUACCUCUAUUAAUUCAACCACUGGUCAGCUCUGAAUUCCGUCUAGAGACUCUAGUCAGCUUGGAUGCGUUGGGUAACUUUAUGGACUUAAAAUUUGCUACAACCUAUGUGGUUUCCAUCAUUCACAAGGACCUUUCAGAGCUGCUCAAGACUAUUGAUGGGUCCCUUCUCUCCUCAGGACCUGUAAUUUGCCAGAUCAUGCCAGUAACGAUUCAACGAAUUCAGUUUAUCAUCCCAACUUUAGUGAAAGCCAGAACAACUUCUGCAUUGAGAGAAGCUUUGAGCCCUGAGCAUGUCUGUCUGUUGAGUAUUUCAUUCUUUUGCACUGCUCAGGUCAGAUGUGAGAGAUGCAGACCUAGGGAUCAUCAGCAAUUGGGGGCAACAGGAAACCCUACACCUUGGAUGAAUCCAGUCUGCUCAUGCUCCUGUUUUUUUAGACUUGGGGACCAGUUCUACAAAGAAGCCAUCGAACACUGCCGCAGCUACAACUCUCGGCUGUGCGCCGAGCGCAGCGUCCGCCUCCCCUUCCUGGAUUCACAGACUGGGGUAGCUCAGAACAACUGCUAUAUCUGGAUGGAGAAGAGGCAUCGGGGACCAGGAUUAGCCCCAGGCCAGCUGUACACAUAUCCUGCUCGCUGCUGGCGCAAGAAGAGACGCUUACAUCCUCCUGAGGACUCCAGGCUGAAGCUCCUGGAAAUUAAACCUGAAGUUGAUCUGCCUUUGAAGAAGGAUGGGUUCACAUCAGAGGGAACCACACUGGAAGCUUUGCUGCGUGGGGAAGGGAUUGAGAAAAAAGUGGAUACGAAAGAGGAAGACACUAUACAGGAAAUCCAGAGAGUUUUGGAAAAUGAUGAAAAUGCUGAUGAGGUGAAUGAGGAAGAAGAAUUAGAAGAAGAUAUUCCAAAACGAAAGAACAGACCCAGAGGACGGGCUCGGGGAUCUGGAGGUGGAAGGAGAAGGAACGAUGCUGCAUCCCAGGAUGACCAUGACAAACCUUAUGUUUGUGACAUCUGUGGCAAACGUUAUAAGAACAGACCUGGACUGAGCUACCAUUAUGCUCACACUCACCUCGCCAGCGAAGAGGGGGAUGAAGCCCAGGAGCAGGUGACACGCUCCCCACCUGUCCACAGAAACGAGAACCACAAACCCCAGAAAGGACCAGAUGGGGCCAUCAUUCCAAACAACUACUGUGACUUUUGCCUUGGAGGCUCCAAUAUGAACAAAAAAAGUGGCCGUCCGGAGGAGCUUGUGUCUUGCUCAGACUGUGGACGCUCGGCUCAUUUGGGAAGAGAAGGCAGGAAGGAGGAAGCAGCGCCAGCACACACUACGGAAGACUUGUUCGGUUCCACAUCGGAAAGCGACACCUCGACCUUUCAUGGCUUUGAUGAGGAUGAUGCAGAAGAGCCUCUCUUGAGCCGAGGAGGCGGCCACGGUAGCAGUUCUACCUCCAGAGAUAAAAAGGGUGGCUGCUAAAAUAAUUAAACAGACACAGAAACUCUUUGAGCAAUUUUCUAUUAUUUUUUACUACUUUGAUUAUUAUUACUACUUUUUUAAUUUUAGAUCCUUGUUUUUCCCCUUUGGGUGUGUACACUGAAAGCACAAACAUAUAAAACAUAGACAGCUACUUUGAAGUGAUGGAAAGUUUUGAUUCACUUUUUAUUUUUUCACAUUCAUUUGUUUCUCUUCUCCUCCCCUCUUUCUCUCUGGAAACCUAAAAGGUGGAUUUAAUAUUUUUUUUAAUAAUGAGCAGAGUUGAUUUUCUCAUCUUUUAAUAUAUAUCAGCAAACCACAAAAAUAAAAAUGGGUUGGAAAACAGAAAACCAACCCAAAUAAUUUUUUAAUUAUUAUUAUUUAUAUAUUCUAUAUAUUAUUAGAAAAAAAGACAUUUUAAAUAAAAAUUGCAAAAAACAAAAAAGCAACGGAUGUCUACUUGAUAACAGAACUGUUUCUAGAAAAACCACUGUGGGGUAGAUUGUUUGAGAUGACAAUGAAACCCUUGGUUUGAUGACUUCAUUUAUGUGAGAUUUUGCACUUACUGUAGCAUGUGGAAUUUGUGACUCCCCCUCACAUACUCCUCUACAGCUCACUUUUAGCAGCUUGAAAAAGCAAGCAGCUCCGAAGAAGACCAUGACAUUGAGGAACACAUUUCCAUCAUUUCUCUGGACACCUCCGCAUUCACUGGAGAUCUCCUCCUCCCUCACCUUUUUAUUUCCUCCUCACGCUGUGUGGAUUUUUUUUCCUUUUUUUUCUCUUCUUCACCUUUCACCUCAUGGAGAGCAAUUUCCAAGCACAGGGAUGGAAUAUAAAUGACAAGUUACAGACUCUGCAAAGACAAAACAGCUGGAAGAAUGAAUCAUGGAAGAAAUUAAAAGGAAAAAUACCUCACCUAUAUUUUUCUUUCUUUUUUUUUAAAUUCACACACACACAUUCUGAUUCCCAGAUUUUUCUAUCUGAAGUGUCUUGUGAGACACUUUGUGUAGUUUUUCAAUAGCUUCUCUUGAAAUAAACCAAAGCAAUACUCAUUAAAGUCCUGAGGGCAAUGGAGAAGAGAGUGCUUCCCUCCCAGCGGCUGUCCCAGGACCGAGAAGCUAUGCGGCAGAUUUGAAAGUCUGCCCUGCCCUCAUGGACUCCAGCAUCCUUCAAGCAAGCCAUUUCCGAAGAAGGCCAAGAGAAGCCAGAAUGCUUUGAUAUUUCUUCUCUCCUUGCCCGACUCCUCCCAUCUGGCACAGGAGCCUGGACUGUGGAAAGCCUGCUGGCACCUGCUCAGAGAAGUUUUGGGAUGCCCUAAGUUUGUGCAAUACAAAGAAAACCUUUUCUUUGUUAAACGUCUUGAGUUCACUAUCCUUUAAGUGUGUGUGUUAACCCAGGUCAAACUGGAAUUGAUCUACAAUAGAAAUGACUGAAAAACAAACAAACAAACUGAAAAAAGGACAACUAUUUUAUUUAUUUCAAUAUUUAAGAGAGAAAAAAAGUGCUCAAGUUGCACAGUAUUUUUGUUUAAAAUAGUUUACUUCAAAAUUUAAAAGCAAUUUUGUGAAGACGUGACAAUUUAAAAAAGCACUUACUGUAAAAUAAAGGCUGAAUAUUUACUUUAAGGAUUUUUUUAAAUUAUGAAAAUAAAGAUCAACUCUGCUCUCUUUUUAAAGAAGCCAUUCAUACAUGUGCUGAGUAUUUUUAUUUUUUGCAAACUGGAUGUGGUAAGUGAAGAUGGUUUUGGUUUAUUUUCUCCUAAAUUCAUGGUACUGAUUCCCUGUUAGAUAUUUAAAGCUUAUUUGCUUUACUGUAUUAGACACAAUCUGAACAACAAGCAAAGAACAGACCCAAAGGCUGAAUUCUUGUUAUCGAUUUUUAUGUCUGUGCUGGAAAGAAUAUUGAUGUAUCUUUUUUCAAUAGAAUGAAACAAGAUUUGGCUUUACCAGUUUGGGGAAAAUAUUGCUGCUGAAAAUAGAAGUAUAAGAAAGGAACGACUCAAUUUGCUGGAGUGCUACUUUUCAUUUUAGUAACUCUAUAGUUCAUUUUGAGAGCUGCGUGAAAUCAAAGGUCCUGAUUAUGUGUGCAUUCUGAAUGUGGAAUCUCUCAGUGGAAGUCCCCUGAACUCCAAGUGCAGAACCUUUGCCUAAUUGAGUUUUAAUUUGGGAACCACUGGCAGGGAUCCUGGAACAGUUUUUAUAGUAGGAGUGCUGUGAUCCAUGGAAUAAAACUGUAAAUCCUAUAUAUACAUGGGAACCACUUCAAGCCAGGGGGCGCUACAGCACCCCCAUACCUGUAGUUCUAGAAUCUAUAACCACCAGACAUUCAGAGUUGCCUUUCAGCACCUCAGAAAUCAGAAGGUGGGGUGAGGUAGGAGGAGGCAAGUGUGAGUCGCCAUGUGCAUAACCCUAAAUUUAGUUUUAUGGUGUGUAGGUGGGAAUAGAGGAAUUCAAACAUUUCGAAUUGUUAGUCAUCUUCCCAGCCUGGUAAGAUGUAUUGGUUUAUAGGUGAAUUGGAGAACCUAUUUGGUUACCUAGUCCAUCCUCAAGGACCAGUGCAAGAUUGUUCCUGACAGUAUUUUGUGCCAUCUGGUUUUGAGUGUCUCAAACUAAAGAUACAGAAUAGCCUACUCUUUUAAAGAAAGAUAAUUGAACAUGAGGCCUAGUCUACCUAGGAAAAGGUUUUCCAUUAAAAUUCCACUUGUGUAGUAGGAAGCAGAAUAGAUUAUACCUGUAUUGGCAAAAACAUCUUUAUGCUGGUAUAACUGGGCUUUUGCAGUAUAGAAAUGUUGUAAAAUAAUCACAUUGACAUUACUUUGCCAGCAAAAAUGUCUAGCGUAGAAAUCUCUAGUGACCUGAGAACCCUUGUCCAUCCUCAUCCAGUGAGUCAUCUCUGCUGAGUCACUAAAUUAUUUAUUUACUAAAGGCAUCUGGAGAGAACAUGUUCUUUUACCAUUGAAAAGAAGGUGGCAUAUGAAACGAAUGAAAGCCCUGACCUUUCAUCCUAUUUCUUGCUUACCCAGGACUUCAGUUGACUUCACUGGGGAUUUUAGGUGUGUUAGGAAUACAGGAUCUGGAGAAGAGCCUUCUUUUCUUAUCACCUGGGAUCAAAUCAGUAGGUGUAGGCAACAUAAUAUCACUUGUAGCUCCCACUCCAGCUCCCACUGACUUCAAUGGCAAAACUUAUAUCGCCAAGACAGGGAGCACAAACAGGACACUUUGACAGUUUUUGGAAAUCUGCAGUUGUUAAACUGCCUUUAACAAAAUCAGGUUUUGUUAUGUUAAAAUAUAACAAAAUGCACAACUGUAAUGAAGCUUCUCAAACAGUAGGGUUUGGAUUUAAUCUGUGUAAUAUUCCUGUUCAAUAAAAGUCUCCUUCUGAUGCCCCCAUGGUAUAUUUCUCUGUAAAUAUUAGUUUAUCUAAAGAUUCCACAAGAUCUUUUUAGUGCACACUAUUCUCUCCAAAACCCCGUUAUCAGAGAUACUUGCUGUACAUAUACUUUUCUAAGCUUUACAUUGUUUACAAUACUCUCUUCUAAGCUUAAAAUAAAACUUCCUUCUCUAUUGAUUUUGUUUUCCUUUUCCAUUUGGUAAAUGAUGACUUUUGUCCUUGGGUUUUGUUUUGUAUUUGCUAAUGAAGCUUGAAAUUAACACAGCUUUCUUGUUUUUCUCUGUUGGCUGGAUUUUGGGAACAGUAUUUGUUACUUGCUUCUGUGGAGGUAGGCAGAGGAGAGAAUAAAAUACUGCUUUUGUGUAGGGGGCCAUAUAAAUAAGAAUCAUUGUUUCCCAUCAUUUGGCAAUAGCAGUGGAUCUUAUUUGGAGGAUACUCAUGUAUUUGGAGGAUAUUCCCCUGAAGAUGAAUAUAAUUGUUAAAGCAGUGAAAAUGCAGAGUCUAAAUUUCUUGACACUGCCCACUUUAACAUAGAUUUUAACCGAUUACAUCAUUUUUUUGAAUCCAGAACCUAUCCAUCACAUUUCUAAUGUAUCAUUUCUUCAGUAUCAAAAUGCCAGUUUCAAGCUUUUGGUUAACUUUUUGUGUUUCACAAUGUAAAUCAUUAAACCUCUUCUUCCACACACACAUGUUGGGGUGGAGUAAUGGGGAAGGAGAGAGAGAGAGCUGAUUGUUUUAGGUUUGCUGGGAGCAGUAGCCUUUUUAGGUAGGUUUUUCUGUAUUUCUUUUUCCUCUAAUGACGGUGCUGUCAUUUAUAUGAAACUCUGCUGUGUUUACCUGUCCCCCAUCACACUCCCAAUGACCAGCAGUAGUUACAGAAGGCACUUUCAGUGCUCACAACUGCAUGCAAUAGUAGCAGCUGAGUGCAGUUCUUAAGUGGUCUUUUGAUGUUUGCAAAAAGAGCCCCUGGAAUAGUGAAACCAAAACUAGGUUUAAAAUAACAAAUAAUAUACUGCAAAGAGGAGAAAAUCCAGUAAUUCUCUAUAGAAUUUAAUAGGGAUGAAUCCAGUAGGGUUGUGUAGGAAUUGUUCUAAGGCCUUAUCUACACUGGCAUGUUCUGUCACCAAAAACUAUGAAAGCAUUUACACCAUAAUGUGACUUUUGUCAGGAAAAACAGCCAGUUUCAGUGGCAAAAAUCUUCCACUCCUGUGAGAGACUUUUCCAUUUCCCCUCCUUUUACUGUCGACAAAGAGCCAGUGCAGACUUCUGUUUGUUUUGUCGAGAGAACUGCAUGUCCACCAGUGUCCCACAAUACCUACCCUGAUGGCUGUGCUCCCUAUUUUGUGACCUGUGCUGCCCUGCAAGCAUGUGCUCCUCCCCUUUCAAAG